CCGUCCGGUUCUUACACUCCACCGACAUCCGGAACAUCCCCGAAUAACUGCCACAGGUGGAGAAGGCAAAGAUGGCGAAGAACUGAGGAGGAGGAGGAGGAGGAGGAGGAGGAGGAGACACCGAGGAAACGCUCUGUGGAGGACGUGUUAGUGGUAUUUUUUUUUGUCUUCCUUCGAGCUGUGAGGAUGAAGAACAAACCUCCUGCAGGACGAUGACUCAUCACUCUGUUUAUAGACGCAAUGAGUCACGGAGAGUACGAGAAUCAAACCAGCAACCUGACAGGGGUACAGGCUAUUAUAACCACCACCACCAUCAUCACCAUCAUCACCAUCAUCAUCAUCAUCAUCACCAUCAUCAUCAUCAUCAUCACGGAGCAGCUGGCACAAGCACAAACCCACACACUCUGAAACUGGGCUGGAUGCAGACUAACGGUGGCCAUCUGCUCGCUGGGUGAGAUAAAGGCCUGCAAAGAACCACUAUUCUCUUUAUUAAUUAAAGGUUGCUUAUAUUUAAGAUAAAACACUGAAAAAGCCU